rnacentral:rRNA from 1 species
UGGGGAAUAUUGGACAAUGGGCGAAAGCCUGAUCCAGCCAUGCCGCGUGUGUGAAGAAGGUCUUCGGAUUGUAAAGCACUUUAAGUUGGGAGGAAGGGCAGUAAGCGAAUACCUUGCUGUUUUGACGUUACCGACAGAAUAAGCACCGGCUAACUCCGUGCCAGCAGCCGCGGUAAUACAGAGGGUGCAAGCGUUAAUCGGAAUUACUGGGCGUAAAGCGCGCGUAGGUGGUUCGUUAAGUUGAAUGUGAAAGCCCCGGGCUCAACCUGGGAACUGCAUCCAAAACUGGCGAGCUAGAGUAGGGCAGAGGGUGGUGGAAUUUCCUGUGUAGCGGUGAAAUGCGUAGAUAUAGGAAGGAACACCAGUGGCGAAGGCGACCACCUGGGCUCAUACUGACACUGAGGUGCGAAAGCGUGGGGAGCAAACAGG